rnacentral:rRNA from 1 species
UAGGGAAUCUUCGGCAAUGGACGAAAGUCUGACCGAGCAACGCCGCGUGAGUGAAGAAGGUUUUCGGAUCGUAAAACUCUGUUGUUAGAGAAGAACAAGGACGUUAGUAACUGAACGUCCCCUGACGGUAUCUAACCAGAAAGCCACGGCUAACUACGUGCCAGCAGCCGCGGUAAUACGUAGGUGGCAAGCGUUGUCCGGAUUUAUUGGGCGUAAAGCGAGCGCAGGCGGUUUCUUAAGUCUGAUGUGAAAGCCCCCGGCUCAACCGGGGAGGGUCAUUGGAAACUGGGAGACUUGAGUGCAGAAGAGGAGAGUGGAAUUCCAUGUGUAGCGGUGACAUGCGUAGAUCUAUGGAGGAACACCAGUGGCGAAGGCGGCUCUCUGGUCUGUAACUGACGCUGAGGCUCGAAAGCGUGGGGAGCAAACAGG